rnacentral:misc_RNA from 1 species
GUGGACAUAUAACGACACCGUCUGAUUCUUCGUCUGUGGACAUUUCCACAGCCUCUUUCACCAUUGGAAUGCUCUCGGCACCCUUGUUCGUCAGAUCCCACCGCCUCCGCGCCGCCGGGUCGCCGCCACCCUCGCCAUUCGCCGCCAUGGCUAGCUAGCUAGCUACAGGAGAGACCGGGGAGGAGAACGCCGGGGGGGAUCGCCCCGUUCCCG